rnacentral:lncRNA from 1 species
GUUCCUCCGCCUUCAGGAAGGUCUUUUUAGCAGGGGCCUUACGGGUGCGCGCUUCGGUCCUGGAGGCCUUAUCCUAGCCUCCUCUCUCCAUCAGCGCCACCCGUCUGGGGCCCAAAAGGAGGGAGCUUUACCUCUGUCCCCCAGCCUUUGGAGUGUCACCAAACAAGCCAUUCGUUCACCAAAUACUUAUUAAGUGCCUGACAACGGAGAUGUAACGAAAUUGCCUGUUUGCUCCACUCUGGUUGAAGAAACCAGUCUGACUGUCUCUGAGGCUAUGGAGCAGUCCAUCAAGAAUGAAAGCCCUCUGCCAGGCACGUUGGCUCACACCUGUAAUACCAGCACUUUGGGAGGCCGAGGCAGGUGGAUCACUUGAGGUCAGGAGUUCGACACCAGCAUGGCCAACAUGGUGAAACCCUGUCUCUACAGAAAAUAAUACUUUGCAAGGCCUCAGAAACUCUGCUAUCCACAGGCAGGUCUUACAGUCAUGGCUGGCUCCUCUCUCUGAGAACUGGGACUCCUGAACUUGGUGAAAUACCUCAGCCAUCGAUCAUGUUAAAUUAUCGGGGACACUCAUUAAAAAUGUGAGUCUGCUCCAGAUGGACUCUCUCUCUUUCUGCCCUGACCGUGAGGGAGACCGUGAGAGAGAGAGACCGUGAGAGAGAGAAACCGUGAGAGAGACCAUCAGAGAGAGAAAGAGAGACCGUGCCCUGACCUGCUGGACAGUGGAGAUGCUUGUGGGCUGUGAGCAACAGAUGCAAGGGCUGCCGGGAAUCCCAUCUUUCCAGCAUCAUCUGCCAAGGCACAUCAGUUCCUGGGUGUCUUGAUGGGUUCUGGCAGCAUUACUGUCAUUGAAGGAAAACAUUUUAGCCAUAUUAAAGGUGAACUCAGCAAUCCCCACACAGCCUGCCUGGAAGGGACGCGGGACAAGGGUAGGUUCUCCCUGUGAUGGACAGGAGGCAGGCGACCCUCCCACAGCCCUACCUGGCAAUGCAGAUGUGUCCCCAAAAGGCACUGGGGGCAGCUGGAGUGCUGUGCCUAGGCGGGCUCACCCGGGCAGCGGUUCGCUCUGAUUGCAGUGGUUUCCCACCAGCUCCUUGGAGAGCUGGCAGAUGACCCAGCCCCACAGCAGGAGCCGGGAAUGGCAGAACGAGAUACAACAAUUUGAUAUCCACUUGCCAGAUGAGCCGGGUGUCCUCAGUCGCCUGGCUCUGUGCCCAACCUCUUUUUACAUAAACACUUAUGAAUUGAGCCAGGAGGAAAAGCACUCUGAUUAUGAAUUGAGCAGAAGGAAACAAAGUUCUGCAGAUAAACACCAAUGAAACAAAAAACCACGAAUAAGAAAAAUGACAGAAAAGGAGAACCUUCCCAGAAGCCUCCUGCCAGUGAACGGUCACCAGAGCAAGAGCAUGGAGGCCCUGGGUUUUGAACUGUGAGAUAAGGAAGAUGAUGAAAACCUCCCUAGCAGCCAGGCAAGCACAAGAUUCCUGUGAAAUCCAGGUCUAAGUGUUUUGACAACAGAAGUAAUAUUAUGUCAUAGGUGAGAGCUGUGAGUUGCUGAACCCAAAGUGAGUUCAAAUCCGAGCUCUGCCUCCUGCUACCUGUGUGACUUUGAGAAGUUCCAGCACUGCUUUGUGCCUCAGUUUUGUCAUCUGUUAAAUGGGCGUAAUCACAGCUCCUGCCUCAGAGUUGUUGUAAAUUAAUACAUGUAAAGCACUGAAAUCAGCCUGGUAUA